rnacentral:rRNA from 11 species
UUUAAUGAUAAUAAAUACUCUUGAGAGAUGUACCAGAUCUUGGCUGAUCUUGGAAACCAGGCAGAGUCAGCCUUGAUUGGCACUUGGAUGGGAGACCUCCAACAAAUACUAAGGGUUGUAAACU